rnacentral:snRNA from 1 species
ACAGCCUCUGGUCGAUGGAACA